GUGGCCAAGAAUCCAUCUGGAAAAGACAUCAACGCUCUGGAGCAGCAUCUUAAAAUGUGAUUUAUUGAAAAUUCUUCAAAAAUAAUGAUGUUAGAUGGCCACAUUUCUUGCAAUUAAUUUGUUAACUACACAAAAUAUCACAUAAGGGGAGACAUCUAGGUUCCUUAUGCUGCAUUGAAAUGCUGAACGUAUAAGUAUCUGUGUACAAUGUAAAACGACUCCUAAAAAACUGAAAGGUAAUCAAUUUUGAACUCAUUACAAGCCUUAAUAAUUUAGAAACUAGACACCAAGUAUUAUCUUCUAUUUGUCGCUUAUCAAAUAUAAUUUGGUUCUUCUUUCUGAUCUUGUACAACCAUGUAUAUUUUACUUUUAUUAUAUUCAUUGCAUCUAUUGUAUCAUCAUUGCAUUUUAUCCUUUAUGUUGUUUCCCUUGCAUUUUUACAUUUUUGAAAAAAUUGGAGGAAAAGUUGAUUGGUUACAUGAUCUUAUCUUGUGCAGAUUAGGACAAGAAUGAUAGACAUGGUCGCUCAUGGCCAGGCUACCUUGGAGGUCUCACUCAAACACUCCGGAUCAUUAUUUAUGUAUGCAGGGCAUAAGGGGGGGAGCAUAUGCCAAGAAUAGCUUUGGAAACAUAUAUACUGCAGUUUUGUUUUUGUUCUGGGUUGGAUGUUUCACGAGACAUGGGGUACUCAAGCAAGAAAAAAACAGAAAAUCGUAUAUGCAUAUCAACGGAAUUGGUUACUGCGGUUUUAGGAGAUCAUGGACAACGACCAAUUGAUGAUUAUGGUGGCCAAGAAUCCAUCUGGAAAAGGCAUCAAGGCUCUGGAGCAGCAUAUAAAUAAUCUCCUUAGCUAUGCUACCCCAUACUUCUUCAACACAUUGUAUGAUCCAUACCGUGACGGUGCAAAUUUUGUGCAUGGGUAUCCUUUCAGCCUCAGGGAAGGUGUUUCAACUGCUGUUUCCCAUGGUCUCUGGUUACAUAUCCCUUACUAUGAUGCUCCCACUCAGCUCCUCAAUCCUUUGGAAAGGAACAAAAGGUAUGUUGAUGUUGUUAUGAGUAUCUCCAAGGGAACAUUGUUUUCCAUGUGUGGUAUGAAUCUGGCCUUUGACCGUGAGCUUAUCGACCCCGCAAUGUACUUUGGCCUCAUGGGAGAUGGCUAGCCGAUUGGUCGUUACGACGAUAUGUUGGUUGGACGGUGUGUGAAGGUGGCUACAAUAAUUGUAGUGUAUGCACACUGGGGCUUUUCUCGCAUCAAAGGUUGUGGAUGGGGAUGGGCAGGAGUCAUAUGGCUCUAUAGCAUCGUCUUCUAUAUUCCACUUGAUAUCCUUAAGUUCAUGAUCCG